GCAUCGAUGAAGAACGCAGCGAAAUGCGAUAAGUAAUGUGAAUUGCAGAAUUCAGUGAAUCAUCGAAUCUUUGAACGCACCUUGCGCUCCAUGGUAUUCCGUGGAGCAUGCCUGUUUGAGUGUCAUGAAUACUUCAACCCUCCUCUUUCUUAAUGAUUGAAGAGGUGUUUGGUUUCUGAGCGCUGCUGGCCUUUACGGUCUAGCUCGUUCGUAAUGCAUUAGCAUCCGCAAUCGAACUUCGGAUUGACUUGGCGUAAUAGACUAUUCGCUGAGGAAUUCUAGUCUUCGGAUUAGAGCCGGGUUGGGUUAAAGGAAACUUCUAAUCAGAAUGUCUACAUUUUAAGAUUAGAUCUCAAAUCAGGUAGGACUACCCGCUGAACUUAAGCAUAUCAAUAAGCGGAGGA
rnacentral:rRNA from 1 species